ensembl:lncRNA
UUGCUGACUCAGACGCUGUCUUCACGUGGCUGCAACCACAUGGAGGCUUCAGUGGAGAGGAGAGAGCCCUGGACUGGGAGCCGGGCUGCCCCAACUGCAGCGCUGCCCUUGCCACCCAUGACCUGGGAGGACCCGGUGAGUCAUUUCCCCUUCCUGAAUCUCCAGCUCUAUUCUGCCAUCAUCAGAGAGCCCUCAAGUGAUUCUCUGAAAACAACCCUUCAACUGGCACCAUAAGCUUUAUAAGUGACGCCACAUCCUCGCCUUCAUUUGCUCCGUCUUUUUUCCUGUUCAGUCUUGAACUGAAGGCAUAAAUCAUCUUUCCUUUUCCCCAGGACACAGAUACCUCUAGGUGGAGAAGGGAAAUGGUAAAGAGACAGGGCCACAGAUUGGCAUUCUUACCUGUCCUUUCUUUUAGAAUUGUGGUUAAAAUAUAUCUAACAUAAAUUUUACUGUUUUAAUCAUUUUAAAGUAUACAAUUCAGUGGUAUUAAGUAUCUUCACCAUGUUGUCUGUACUUGCCACAUCCAUGUCUGGAACCAAAAAAUAAUUCAUUUCUCCCGCCCCAUAGUCCCUGGCAACCACAGUUCUGCUUUCUGUUGGGAUGGACUUGCCUGCUCUAGGAACCUUAUAUCAGUGGAAUUAUAUAGCACUGGUCCUUUUGUGUCUGACAUACUUCACUUUGCAUAAGGCCUUCAGGGUUCAUCCUUGCUGCAGCAUGGGUCAGAAUUUCCUUCCGCUUAACAGCCGGAUAAUAAUUCCAUUGUAUGUACAGACAACUUUGUGUUUAUCCAUUCGUCUAUUGAUGGACAUUUGGGUUGCUCAUCUGCUCUUUUUAAAGGAAAGUGUUUCUGGAUGACCCUGUUUGAAUCUAGGGGAGUCCGGAGAAGAACAAGGGUUGGCUCCAAGUGGAUGGGAUCUCACAGGGGUGACUGAAGCUGGGAGGAGGCAGGAGGACAGAGGAAGAGGGCCAGGAGGAACCCAAGAAAAGCGGAGCGGCAACAACUCUCGUUUCCUUUGAAUCCAGCCGCGGUGGCUGGUACCCAAGCCGAGGUGUGGAGGGUCCAGGACCGAAAGGAAGCAGGAAUUGGUGGCGUGUACUGCCUGCCCAAGGAGCCUCGCUGGACUGGGGUUUCUGGGGCCUCUGGGACAGAAAGAGGAAUGACGGUGGGAAGGGAAGACCCUCAGAAGAGGAAGCUGUGCCUUGGUCGGCUCUGGGAGAGAGGCUCCUCAAGAAGUCCAGUGGUUUGGCCCUGUUCCUCAUUGGCCAGGUUGAUGAAUCCAGGGCAGCGAGGUUAGCACCACCCGGGUCCCCAACUCUGAAGCAGCUGGGUGCUUGGAAGGCCACACUAUCCCCAAGGAGCAGGCCCAGCCAGGAGAAGGUAAGGGAUGGCGUGGAGCCCUCCAGAGCCUGCAGCGUGAGCACCAUCUGCAGCCCGUUGGACCUGGAGCCUUCAAGGCGGGACUGCGUCACCGGGGAGACUCAAGAGGAAUCGAUACUUCGGCCCCCAGUGACAUGUACACGGUGUAAUGACAGGAAAUGAGCAGGUUUGCACAGAAACUGCUGGCCU